CAUCGCGGCAAUCAGAAUUACACUAAAGGAGCUUGGGCUAAUGAAGCAGAUGGCCGGGCAUCUGGCGGGAUCACUGGUGCCUGCUUUGAGCGCACAGUUACGAGAAAUUUAUAUUAAACUGCCGCUCAGCGAGGGGCCGAUGUUAUUCAAGGGAGCACACGUACGGCUGGCCACGCUUAUAGAAGACGUUUUCUAUGAUUGGGCGUCUGAAAAGCCACUUGAGGCCACGGCGUUUCGGAGGAGCUUGCCGCAGCAGCAGCACCACUCCCGGUUGGUCUCAGCGGCCGACAAAUGGAGGCUCAAUCACGCCGCCAAGCCCUGUCUGCCUGGGACCAGGAGCCUUUGAGUAUUCGGUUU